AUUGAACGCUGGCGGAAUGCUUUACACAUGCAAGUCGAACGGCAGCACGGGGGCAACCCUGGUGGCGAGUGGCGAACGGGUGAGUAAUAUAUCGGAACGUGCCCAGUCGUGGGGGAUAACGUAGCGAAAGCUACGCUAAUACCGCAUACGAUCUACGGAUGAAAGCGGGGGAUUGCAAGACCUAGCGCGAUUGGAGCGGCCGAUAUCAGAUUAGGUAGUUGGUGGGGUAAAGGCUCACCAAGCCAACGAUCUGUAGCUGGUCUGAGAGGACGACCAGCCACACUGGGACUGAGACACGGCCCAGACUCCUACGGGAGGCAGCAGUGGGGAAUUUUGGACAAUGGGCGCAAGCCUGAUCCAGCCAUUCCGCGUGCAGGACGAAGGCCUUCGGGUUGUAAACUGCUUUUGUACGGAACGAAAAAGCCAUGGCUAAUACCCAGGGUCCAUGACGGUACCGUAAGAAUAAGCACCGGCUAACUACGUGCCAGCAGCCGCAGUAA
rnacentral:rRNA from 1 species